rnacentral:rRNA from 1 species
GCAUAUCAAUAAGCGGAGGAAAAGAAACCAACAGGGAUUGCCCUAGUAACGGCGAGUGAAGCGGCAACAGCUCAAAUUUGAAAUCUGGCUUCGGCCCGAGUUGUAAUUUGCAGAGGAAGCUUUGGGCGCGGCGCCGUCUGAGUCCCCUGGAACGGGGCGCCAAAGAGGGUGAGAGCCCCGUAGAGACGGAUGCCUAGCCUGUGUAAAGCUCCUUCGACGAGUCGAGUAGUUUGGGAAUGCUGCUCAAAAUGGGAGGUAAAUUUCUUCUAAAGCUAAAUACCGGCCAGAGACCGAUAGCGCACAAGUAGAGUGAUCGAAAGAUGAAAAGCACUUUGAAAAGAGGGUUAAAUAGCACGUGAAAUUGUUGAAAGGGAAGCGCUUGUGACCAGACUUGCGCCGGGCUGAUCAUCCGGUGUUCUCACCGGUGCACUCUGCCCGGCUCAGGCCAGCAUCGGUUCUCGCGGGGGGAUAAAGGUCCUGGGAAUGUGGCUCCUCCGGGAGUGUUAUAGCCCGGGGCGUAAUACCCUCGCGGGGACCGAGGUUCGCGCUCUGCAAGGAUGCUGGCGUAAUGGUCAUCAGCGACCCGUCUUGAAACACGGACCAAGGAGUCAAGGUUUUGCGCGAGUGUUUGGGUGUAAAACCCGCACGCGUAAUGAAAGUGAACGUAGGUGAGAGCUUCGGCGCAUCAUCGACCGAUCCUGAUGUUCUCGGAUGGAUUUGAGUAAGAGCGUUAAGCCUUGGACCCGAAAGAUGGUGAACUAUGCUUGGAUAGGGUGAAGCCAGAGGAAACUCUGGUGGAGGCUCGCAGCGGUUCUGACGUGCAAAUCGAUCGUCAAAUCUGAGCAUGGGGGCGAAAGACUAAUCGAACCAUCUAGUAGCUGGUUACCGCCGAAG